UGCAUAGUUGAUGGCACAGAAAGACUGC
rnacentral:piRNA from 1 species